rnacentral:tRNA from 1 species
ACCCGGCUGGCUCAGUCGGUGGAGCAUGCAACUCUUGAUCUCGGGGUGUGAGUUUGAGCCCCACGUUGGGUG